AUUAUAUUGGUACGACUGAUAGCGAAACAUAUGCUAAAGUUUUAUCGAUUUCACAAGUGUCAUUGGUGUCAACUUUGGUUAUGUUGUGUUAUUGUUUGAUUUUUCGCGUUUUUCUACUUUUCUGCUCGUGUAAUCGUAUCAGUUCUUUUCAGAACUAUAACAGUUCUUUUUAGAACUCCAAGUUAACUGUCCUGUACCGUGGUACGUGUCGCUUGCUUGAACGUAAACAUUCCACCAUGCCGAAGCCCUUGCACAAAGAUGUAAAGCAAAUGGAUGAUAAUUUAGUGGGCUAUUUUGUUAAAGAACGCGAUAGCGGGGGACCUCUUUUACCACUAACAGCUGUUCAAGACAUAAGUAGGUGUAUUUUAUUACAAUUAGUAAUGCAGUCACAUUGUACAGAGGGUUGCUGCUGCUCUGGGUGUAUGUGUGCGAACAGUGAACUCCGUGGUACAACAAAUAAAAACCGGAGAAGGUGUACAUUCUCCCAAGAAAUAGAGACCCCCGAACAAAGCAAGUGUGUGAUAUUAGCACUUCGGAGCAGUGUGCUAUUCGAGAGUGCUUAUAUGGAAUGGUCGAAAAAAAAAUACAUGUUACAUGCAGAUACAAGCAAUGGAUUUAUUGAUGAAGCAGCGCUGGCAUUUUCUUCUAAUACAAAAAAUCCAGAAAUGAAUCAACAGAAUUUUCUCAAGUGGUUUCAAUUGCUUAUGAAUCUUGAAGAACCAUCACUGAUUAUUAUAGACAAUGCAAGCUACCACAGUACCCUUGCAAACAAAUGUCCCAGUGGUUCAUGGAAAAAAGCAGAAAUUCGUGAAUGGCUUUAACAAGAUGACAUAAGUUCAGAUUCACAGCUGUUAAAAACGGAACUUCUUCAUUUGGUUGCACAAAAUAAACCUCCAAAAACGUAUGUUGCCGUGAAUUGGGCCAACAGAGUGGCCAUAGAGUAUUGCGAUUGCCGCCAUAUCAUUGUGUGUUUAACCCUAUAGAAAAUAUUUGGGGAAUUACUACAAAUUUUUAUUCCAAACACAUUGGGCGUGAUGGUUAUGGUUAAAAAAAUUCCGUGGAAAUGUGGAAAGAAGCGUUAGCAGAUGUCACGCCCACAAUGUGGAAAAAUACUGUUGACCAUAUGAAUAAAAUAAUACGGGAGUGGUGGGAACGGGAAUUAGUAUUUGACCGUGAAGAGAUUGUGCCGUUUAUAAUCGACAUUAACGAAGAUUCAGAUUAUAGUUUUCGUGAUUAUGACAGUGAAGAUUCUAAUACUGCAGAGGGCAUUCAGCCACUGUAACAUGUAGGUUAUUUUCCAUUACCAUCCUAAUUGAUUGUACUAGCGGCAUGUUCUGCUGAUGUCUUUUAUAAUCACACUAUCACUUCACUGGCCAAAUAUACAAAUCACUGGUCAGACGACGACGUUGUGCAACAUGCAUACUUAUUAUUGUUUAUACUUUACU